GACCAAAGGGGGCGAGCGUAAGCGGCUCCCGCUGAAGGAUGGGCCUGCGGCUGAUUAGCUAGUUGGUGGGGUAGCGGCCUACCAAGGCGACGAUCAGUAGCCGACCUGAGAGGGUGACCGGCCACACUGGGACUGAGACACGGCCCAGACUCCUACGGGAGGCAGCAGUGGGGAAUAUUGCGCAAUGGGCGAAAGCCUGACGCAGCGACGCCGCGUGGGUGACGAAGGCCUUCGGGUCGUAAAACCCUGUCGGGUGGAACGAAUCUCCGCCUCGCCAAUACCGAGGCGGCUUGACGGUACCACCGAAGGAAGCCCCGGCUAACUACGUGCCAGCAGCCGCGGUAAUACGUAGGGGGCGAGCGUUGUUCGGAUUUACUGGGCGUAAAGAGCGCGUAGGCGGUUCGAUUAGUUGGAGGUGAAAUCCCUCGGCUCAACCGAGGACGCGCGUCCGACACUGUCGAACUUGAGUGCAGGGGAGGAGGGCGGAAUUCCCAGUGUAGCGGUGAAAUGCGUAGAUAUUGGGAGGAACACCGGUGGCGAAGGCGGCUCUCUGGACUGUCACUGACGCUGAGGCGCGAAAGCUAGGGGAGCAAACGGGAUUAGAUACCCCGGUAGUCCUAGCCGUAAACGAUGGGCACUAGGUGUGGGAGGUAUCGACCCCUUCCGUGCCGCA
rnacentral:rRNA from 1 species